UACGUAGGGCGCAAGCGUUGUCCGGAAUUAUUGGGCGUAAAGAGCUCGUAGGCGGUUUGUCGCGUCUGCUGUGAAAACCUAAGGCUCAACCUUGGGCUUGCAGUGGGUACGGGCAGACUAGAGUGCGGUAGGGGUGACUGGAAUUCUUGGUGUAGCGGUGGAAUGCGCAGAUAUCAGGAGGAACACCGAUGGCGAAGGCAGGUCACUGGGCCGCAACUGACGCUGAGGAGCGAAAGCAUGGGGAGCGAACAGG
rnacentral:rRNA from 1 species